AGCCGGUCCUUUCUUCUUCGCGUGCCUUUCCCUGCGUCAUCUCAAAUUUCGAACACUCUUUCUCUUCGUUCCUCUGCAUCGCCGGCCACCACCUCCUUCAUGCCGACGCUGCUGGGUGGUUGCGAUGGUUAUUGCGUUGUUGUGGUUGAUGGUGUUGUCCUGCCUCCGUGCUCGGCUUUCCUCUGCUUGUCGCCGCCAAUAAUGGUGGCCUACCAACACAACAUCAUUUGUAACUAAUUGGUGACUACUAGCUAGCGCCGUCCAAUUAGGGUGGGGGAUUAGAUCUUGCAAGAAAGGCUUCGUCGGAGAUUCCAAUUUUAUGCCCGCCAGGGAACUCGGGGUCGCCUCUCUCUUCGUUUGAGCCGCCGCUACCGCCUUCUUUGCCGCCCUUAACGCCUCCGGCAUCCACAGUGUCUACACUCCGAGGAUUGCGCCUUAUGCGAGGAAUUUGAUGUGGUUCGUGAGCAAUGGGCUAAGUUUUUUACCAACAAGUAUUUAUUAUUGGCUUUAGCGCGCUUGAUCGAGUUGGUUUAGUUGUUAUAGAAUAAAUUUUAUAUUAAAAUGUAUGUUUAUGUUGAAAUUGGAACAUAUAUUUAAAUGUAAUAUGUGCACUUUGGUUUUGGGAUAUAUAGUAUACAAAACUCCAGUUGUUGUUUUUAUAUUUGUUAUACAGGUUGCGUUAUUCUAUUAUUGUUUUGACA